GAUGAACGCUGGCGGCGUGCCUAACACAUGCAAGUCGAGCGGUAUAUAGUGGAAUGAAACUUCGGUCGAGUGAAGCUAUAGAGAGCGGCGGACGGGUGAGUAACGCGUAGGCAACCUGCCCCAUACAGAGGGAUAGCCUCGGGAAACCGGGAUUAAAACCUCAUAACGCGAGGAGUUCACAUGGACUUCUCGCCAAAGAUUCAUCGGUAUGGGAUGGGCCUGCGUCUGAUUAGCUAGUUGGUGAGGUAACGGCUCACCAAGGCGACGAUCAGUAGCCGACCUGAGAGGGUAAUCGGCCACAUUGGAACUGAGACACGGUCCAAACUCCUACGGGAGGCAGCAGUGGGGAAUAUUGCACAAUGGGCGAAAGCCUGAUGCAGCAACGCCGCGUGAGCGAUGAAGGCCUUUGGGUCGUAAAGCUCUGUCCUUGGGGAAGAAACAAAUGACGGUACCCUUGGAGGAAGCCCCGGCUAACUACGUG
rnacentral:rRNA from 1 species